CCUACGGGAUGCAGCAGUGGGGAAUAUUGCACAAUGGGGGAAACCCUGAUGCAGCGACGCCGCGUGAGUGAAGAAGUAUUUCGGUAUGUAAAGCUCUAUCAGCAGGGAAGAAACCCACCCUCCGGGGUGGCUGACGGUACCUGACUAAGAAGCCCCGGCUAACUCCGUGCCAGCAGCCGCCGUAAUACGUAGGGGGCAAGCGUGAUCCGGAUUUACUGGGUGUAAAGGGAGCGUAGGAGGCAAGGCAAGUCAGAUGUGAAAACCCGGGGCCCAACCCCGGGCGUGCAUGUGAAACUGUCUGGCUAGAGUGUAGGAGAGGGAAGUGGAAUUCCUAGGGUAGCGGUGAAAUGCAUAGAUAGUAGGAGGAACACCAGUGGCGAAGGCGGCUUACUGGACUGUAACUGACACUGAGGCUCGAAAGCGUGGGGAGCAAACAGGAGUAGAUACCCUGGUAGUC
rnacentral:rRNA from 1 species